rnacentral:rRNA from 1 species
ACGGAAGGCAGCAGUGAGGAAUAUUGGUCAAUGGGCGGAAGCCUGAACCAGCCAAGUCGCGUGAAGGAUGAAGGUAUUAUGUAUUGUAAACUUCUUUAGCAGUGGAGUAAUAAGGGGAUCGUGAUCCCUGAUGCAAGUACACUGAAAAUAAGGAUCGGCUAACUCCGUGCCAGCAGCCGCGGUAAUACGGAGGAUCCGAGCGUUAUCCGGAUUUAUUGGGUUUAAAGGGUGCGCAGGCGGCCCUGUAAGUCAGCGGUUAAAUCGUGGAGCUCAACUCCAUCCCGCCGUUGAUACUGCAGGGCUUGAUUGCGGUCGAGGUUGGCGGAAUUCGUCGUGUAGCGGUGAAGUGCAUAGAUAUGACGAAGAACACCGAUUGCGUAGGCAGCUGACCAGGCCGUAAAUGACGCUCAUGCACGAAAGUGCGGGGAUCGAACAGGAUUAGAUACCCUGGUA